AUCCUCUUGUAGUUCAUAAGCAUGAUGACCCGGUUCUCACGUGCAUGUGUGAGGUGUGCCUCCCUCAAACCUUGUUAUGACGUCGGCACAUUGUCCGUCUGACA